rnacentral:rRNA from 1 species
GAUGAACGCUAGCGGCAGGCCUAAUACAUGCAAGUCGAACGGUGUAGCAAUACACAGUGGCGCACGGGUGCGUAACACGUAUGCAACCUACCUUACAUUGGGGGAUAGCCUUUCGAAAGGGAGAUUAAUACCGCAUAAGACAGUAACUAGGCAUCUAGUAGCUGUUAAAGAUUUAUCGAUGUAAGCUGGGCAUGCGUCCAAUUAGUUAGUUGGCGAGGUAAUGGCUUACCAAGACGAUGAUUGGUAGGGGAACGGAGAGGUCAAUCCCCCACACUGGCACUGAGAUACGGGCCAGACUCCUACGGGAGGCAGCAGUAGGGAAUAUUGGGCAAUGGGCGCAAGCCUGACCCAGCCAUGCCGCGUGCAGGAAGAAGGCGUUAUGCGUUGUAAACUGCUUUUAUACAGGAAGAAACGACCCUUGCGAGGGGCAUUGACGGUACUGUAUGAAUAAGCACCGGCUAACUCCGUGCCAGCAGCCGCCGUAACAC